GGGACGCUUACCACUUUGUGGUUCAUGACUGGGGUGAAGUCGUAACAAGGUAGCGCUAGGGGAACCUGGCGCUGGAUCACCUCCUUAAACGAUGAU
rnacentral:rRNA from 4 species